ACUGCUCAGUAACACGUGGAUAACCUGCCCUAAGGAAGGGGAUAACCUCGGGAAACUGAGGAUAAUACCCUAUAGGUUACAGACGCUGGAAUGCCCUGUAACCGAAAGUUCCGGCGCCUUAGGAUGGAUCUGCGGCCGAUUAGGUUGUUGUUGGGGUAACGGCCCAACAAGCCGAUAAUCGGUACGGGUUGAGGGAGCAAGAGCCCGGAGUUGGAUUCUGAGACAUGAAUCCAGGCCCUACGGGGCGCAGCAGGCGCGAAAACUUUACAAUGCGGGAAACCGUGAUAAGGGAACCCCGAGUGCCUGUAUAUGCAGGCUGUCCAGGUGUCUAAAAAACACCUGAAGAAAGGGCCGGGCAAGACCGGUGCCAGCCGCCGCGGUAAUACCGGCGGCUCGAGUGGUGGCCACUUUUAUUGGGCUUAAAGCGUUCGUAGCUGGGUUGUUAAGUCUCUUGGGAAAUCUGACGGCUCAACCGUCAGGCGUCCAAGGGAUACUGGCAAUCUUGGAACCGGGAGAGGUGAGGGGUACUUCGGGGGUAGGAGUGAAAUCCUGUAAUCCUCGAGGGACCACCUGUGGCGAAGGCGCCUCACCAGAACGGCUUCGACAGUGAGGGACGAAAGCUGGGGGAGCAAACCGGAUUAGAUACCCGGGUAGUCCCAGCCGUAAACGAUGCGCGUUAGGUGUAUCGGUGACCACGAGUCACCGAGGUGCCGAAGGGAAACCGUGAAACGUGCCGCCUGGGAAGUACGGUCGCAAGGCUGAAACUUAAAGGAAUUGCGGGGGAGCAC
rnacentral:rRNA from 1 species